rnacentral:rRNA from 1 species
UACAGAGGUGGCAAGCGUUGCUCGGAAUUACUGGGCGUAAAGGGCGCGUAGGCGGGAUGGCAAGUCGGUCGUGAAAUCCCUCGGCUCAACCGAGGAACGUCGAUCGAUACUGCUGUUCUUGAGGAUUGCAGAGGAGACUGGAAUUCCCGGUGUAGCGGUGAAAUGUGUAGAGAUCGGGAGGAACACCGGUGGCGAAGGCGGGUCUCUGGGCAAUUCCUGACGCUGAGGCGCGAAAGCGUGGGGAGCAAACGGG